UUCAUUCAUAUUUCUUUCUCUUCAUUGCAGAAUAUAAAACAAAGAAAAGAAGAAAACAUAAAGCUAGGGUUCGUACACUUCCAAGCUUAAUUCAAGAUCAAGAACCAAGAAAAUCGAAGUUGGACCGGGGAAAAACGAAGGUGGUCGACUAGCCGUUCCGUUUUGUUUUAUAUCGUCCUAGGUAAUAAGUAUAAUUGUACUGUUAUAUAAGUAAUUAAAUGUAAAAUUUAUAUGCUGGUUUGAGAAAUAUAAAAUUUAUAUGUAAAACUGAUUUGAUGAAAUUUAACAUCAAGUGUACGAGAAAUAAAGUGACGACACAAGUGUACGAUACGUCACAAGACUUUAGCACUAAGUGUGCGAUGAUAUUAAUGUAACGGCACUAAGUGUGCAAUACGUUACUGAUAUAUGGCAAUGGGUGUGUGAGGUUGACGAUUUUUUUUUA